rnacentral:rRNA from 1 species
UACGUAGGGUGCAAGCGUUAAUCGGAAUUACUGGGCGUAAAGCGUGCGCAGGCGGUUAUAUAAGACAGAUGUGAAAUCCCCGGGCUCAACCUGGGAACUGCAUUAGUGACUGUAUAGCUAGAGUGCGGCAGAGGGGGAUGGAAUUCCGCGUGUAGCAGUGAAAUGCGUAGAUAUGCGGAGGAACACCGAUGGCGAAGGCAAUCCCCUGGGCCUGCACUGACGCUCAUGCACGAAAGCGUGGGGAGCAAACAGGAUUAGAUACCCUGGUAGUCCACGCCCUAAACGAUGUCAACUGGUUGUUGGGAAUUUACUUUCUCAGUAACGAAGCUAACGCGUGAAGUUGACCGCCUGGGGAGUACGGCCGCAAGGUUAAA